AAAGUGAUAACCGAAAAGCUUUAUAAAAAUAGAGUAGGUA
rfam:Aquimarina sp. RZW4-3-2 contig2, whole genome shotgun sequence.